UACGUAGGAUGCGAGCGUUGUCCGGAAUUAUUGGGCGUAAAGAGAACGUAGGUGGUUUCUUAAGUUCGAUCUUAAAGACCGGGGCUCAACCCCGGGAAUGGAUUGAAAACUGGGAGACUAGAGGAUGUUAGAGGACGGUGGAAUUCCCGAGUGUAGCUGGUGAAAUGCGUAGAUAUUGGGAGGAACACCAGUGGCGGAAAGCG
rnacentral:rRNA from 1 species